AGCUUGCUUAAAGAAUUCUUAGUGGCGGACGGGUGAGUAACGCGUGGGUAACCUACCCAUAAAGCCGGGACAACCCUUGGAAACGAGGGCUAAUACCGGAUAAUCUUAAGUUUUGGCAUCAGAAUUUAAGGAAAGAUGGCCUCUGAAGAUGCUAUCGAUUAUGGAUGGACCCGCGUCUGAUUAGCUAGUUGGUGGGGUAAAGGCCUACCAAGGCGACGAUCAGUAGCCGGCCUGAGAGGGUGAACGGCCACACUGGGACUGAGACACGGCCCAGACUCCUACGGGAGGCAGCAGUGGGGAAUCUUCCGCAAUGGACGAAAGUCUGACGGAGCAACGCCGCGUGUAUGAUGAAGGUCUUCGGAUUGUAAAGUACUGUCUUUGGGGAAGAACGGUCUUCUUGAAAAGAUUGAGGAGACAUGACGGUACCCAAGGAGGAAGCCCCGGCUAACUACGUGCCAGCAGCCGCGGUAAUACGUAGGGGGCAAGCGUUGUCCGGAAUUAUUGGGCGUAAAGGGCGCGUAGGCGGAUUUUUAAGUCCGGUGUGAAAGAUCAGGGCUCAACCCUGAGAGUGCAUCGGAAACUGGGAAUCUUGAGGACAGGAGAGGAAAGUGGAAUUCCUAGUGUAGCGGUGAAAUGCGUAGAUAUUAGGAGGAACACCAGUGGCGAAGGCGACUUUCUGGACUGUAACUGACGCUGAGGCGCGAAAGCGUGGG
rnacentral:rRNA from 1 species